rnacentral:rRNA from 1 species
CAUUAAGUUGGGCACUCUAAUGAGACUGCCGGUGACAAACCGGAGGAAGGUGGGGAUGACGUCAAGUCAUCAUGCCCCUUAUGACCUGGGCUACACACGUGCUACAAUGGACGGUACAACGAGAAGCGAACCUGCGAAGGCAAGCGGAUCUCUUAAAGCCGUUCUCAGUUCGGACUGUAGGCUGCAACUCGCCUACACGAAGCUGGAAUCGCUAGUAAUCGCGGAUCAGCACGCCGCGGUGAAUACGUUCCCGGG